CAUUAAUGAGCCAGAAAACAGGGAGCGACUAGAGCAGGAGAUGGCUCUCGUAGGAGUAGGUCUACAUGCAAGCUUGAGCGUUAGCUGCAGGCACCGUCUUCUCAUCUAACAUCUACUCAAUGAGACUUUCUAAAGUGCUUGUCAAUGAAGAUUAUGUAAUUAUCCUAUUUGUUUGACUUCAGAUUGACCGCAUCAACUUCGCAGAUGUUUUUUAUGAAUUCGUUCUACUAAGCCUUCUAGAAGGAAAGACAUCUCUUCCUAUAUCUAAGCCUGGUAGCUUCCUUUAUCUGCUCCUGCAAGUCAUAAUGAGGAUUGACCCUCCUGGAGGAGCCUGGACAGAGGCUGCUGAGAACUUCUACCUCCUCGUUAAGGGCCAGAUGAAGGCAUGGCUACAAUCCAUCUUCAACCUCAAUGAGUCAAUCUAUGAAAGCCCAGAGAGGCUCUCGGGGGAGGUGAUGGGGAAUCUAGAAAUACAGGUUGAGUUCCUGCUGUCCAGCCUGGAUUAAGGUUCCCAAACUGAGCUGAGGGCCCCAUCACAAAAUAAAGUGUUUUGCAUUUAAA